AGUCACCAGAGGACCCACUUUCAAUAUCAGCACCCGUCUUCGAAAGGGAAGUCUGGAAGGGCAAACCGAAAAUGAGAGAAAAACAGAUGAAGGUCAAACACCAAGCGGCAGGCUACCUGCGGAGGAGGCACGAGUUCCAAGCAGGCAAUUACUAAGGACUCGCAAACACCCCAAUCACAGAAAGAAGGAGAAGGCGGCAGCAGGUGGCAUCUCACUGCAGGGCAGAAGCACAGGUUGCGGGGACUCUGUUACAAGGGGUGAGAAGUGAAGUCCCAGCUCACGGUCCCCCGAGAUCUGGUCUUCUCCAAGUCAGCAGAGAAGGAGUGCAUGAAAAAGCGGCGGAAGGGGAGGCUCGGCUCCAGGAAACUGCCUCUGCCAGAGCAACAAGCCUCGCUCACCAGCCUCUAGCUGCGGUUCAGAAAAAAGCCUGGCCGCUAGUCCCACCAGAGCACGGCGCCACCACUACCCCACGACCCGUGUGUGUCUUUCAGGAUAACUAACGCCCUCCCCCACUGUGUGCAGCAAAGUGAAAUGCUUCUGAGGUCUUUCAAGAGACUUCUCAGGCUUCUGCUUCCCGCUUACUAAAGGCUUCUUCCAGAAGGCUCAGGACACAUGCUUCACCACUACCCAGACAGCCACCUUCUCAAGGGCUCCACACUCUGUGUGGACAAAGCUCUGCUCUGAGUUCAACCCUUACAAAAGAUCCAAAGCGCCUUUGACCAGGAAGACUAAAACGAGUUUGUGCAGAGGCCAAGGACAGACAAGUCUCCAACUUGUCCUUGCCAUAGCCCAGGUCACCCACUCGGAGCACUGAUUGAUAGCCCAGAGCAAUGGUGACCCCCACGGAGAUCCUGCCAGCCCCAACCCCGACGCCUCCGGGCCCUACGGCUUCCCACCUCCUCAGUGCCCAGCGCGAGGCAGGUCUGGGACCGAGGUCCGACCGGCCCCGCCCUGCCACCAGCGGCCAGGCACCCACCGAACAGGAAAUUCCACCUGUGCGCCCGAGCUCCGGCCACCCACGAGCCGUAGAGCGGAGCUCGGGCGAAACCGAGGGCCCCGCGCAGGCGACGCUGCGCGCGGAUCAGAACUGUGGACGCCCGACCCCGGGUCCCCAGCCCUCGCCCACCUCUAGCCGGGAGUUGUACUUGAGUCCCGCGCCGAAGUCCUGAGAGCCCCCUCCGGCCUUGCGGCCCCGAUUGCUACCCAUGGUUUUGGCGGUCCGAUCGCCGGUCUCAGACGCGUGGUCCCUCCGGGCAGCCGUCUACCAUGGCCCGCGGGGUGUUGGGGACACGAGGGACGAGGGGGACGAGGUGAGGCACGGGCCAAGUUCCGGGGCAGGCCCAGCGCGCCCGGCCCGCGGCGGAGGCUCCAGUUCUCAUCCUUCCUCCCAGCUCAGGUAGUUUCAGGGUGUGGCCUCCAGGGUCGCCCCGCCCCUCCAGCCAGCCAGCACCGGCGCCCGCACACCUGUUGCGGCCGGUCCCGCCUUCCGCCACGCCCCCAGGAAGCUCUUUCCCUCCCGCCAGAACCCCGAAAAGGAGCACCACAGAGUUCUGGCUCUUUCUUCCUCUUUGUCACGGGUGGCUCUUUCUCCUGGAGCACAGCCCUUCAGUCCGGUCCUUUGAUACUGGCCAUCUCUCCACCAUCUUUAAUACAAUUUUAAUCUCUCUCCCGUGGAUCUUUCCCUACAAUCAAUCAUGUUACCAGAUGCCUGUGUCUCCGUUAUUGUCCCUUCAAAACCGUAGCCAGCUGUUGUUAAGACCAGGCCUUCCUCCUGUGUCAUGUCCCCUCCUGGGGACAGUAGCAGCCUCUUCUUCGCUGUCAGAGCCACUGACAGUGGCCUGUGCCCAGAGAAAUGAUUGCAGGUCCCCAGAGUCUUUCUCCAACUAUUUGCAGCAUCAGAUACUGACUGCACAUCCCGUCUUGAAAAGCGUCUUUUCUGUAUUUUCGUAAUCCUUUCUGACCUCUAGACUAGAUCGCUAGUCAACCUCCUCCCUUUUUUCUACACUCCCUUCCUUUAAUUUGUUGUUAUUGUUGUCGUUGUUUAUUUGCGUGUUUGAGAACAACUUGCGAGAUACUUGGUCUCUCCUUGCACCUUGUGGGUUCUAGGGAUGGAGAAUCAUCAGGCUGGGCAGUAAGAGCCCUUACUGGCUCAGUCAUCCUGCAGGACCCACACUUUCCUUCUUUAAGGAUACGUGCCUUCCCAGCACAGGCACCAAAGGUGUUCCCCACCUGGGUAUUUCUCUGCUGAUAUUCUGCAGUCUUGAUUAGUGAACCAAAACUCCUGAGCUCAUAGUAUGUGCUGUCCUAGCUCUUGGGAAACAAGAAUGAGCAAAAUGAAAUUUUGCUCCUUUGAACUCCUACUUUGAAAUUAACAAGCCCCAAGUUUCUACCUAGAACCCAGCCCUUCUUAAAAUAACAUAAAUCUCUAUGAGUCUGUGUCCCACAGCAGCUACAGCAAGCAGAGCCCCCUGCUGAUGUAUUCUGGAGAUAAGUGAUGUAACAACUCUGGUGAUAUUAGACCAAAGAGAGUCUACUGACACAGACUCGUCCUCCCUGUGAGCCAGGACUGGGUCUUUCUGUCUCUCUAUCAUUGCACUACUGUGUCUCACUGACCGGAGUCUUCCAAGUCUAAGUUAUGUGAGUGUGAUGCACAGGGAAAUAAAUUUGCCACUAUACUGCAUGCAAAGAAUUCCAAAGCCAAAUGGAGCAUAUUGAAAAAUAACUCCCUGCUUUGGAUUACCACUGGCACAAACACCCUUUAAUUAGUGAAUGACUGAAAGUUAGCCUGAUUCGAGGCAGCAAAGACUAGAAGGGACUUGUGGCUCUGGACCUGCUAUUCUGUUGAGAAAAGAAUGACUCAUUUUCUUUCUCAACUUCCUGCAGUUCCAUCCUUUAUCUCAGAAAGCUAAAUGUGUAUCUCGUCUGUGAGAGGCACCCAUCUGGUCAUUUGAGUGCAGGCAAUGCCACAAAUCUGUCGUAAGUCCAGCAGAAGAGUCACCCUCCUGUGCUAUGCACACCCUAUGUGCAUGCCUAGGACAUCCCUAUGACCAACAACCGGACAAAGUAAACUUUAUGCUAACAUCUUAAAUCUGUUUGGUUUAAUCGUUAUAAAGUAUAUAUAAGGCAGGUGUGGUGGCAAACACACGGGCCAGCCUGAUCUACAUAGCAAACCCUGCCUCAAUAAAGAAAGAACAAUA
rnacentral:lncRNA from 1 species